UACGUAGGGGGCAAGCGUUGUCCGGAAUUAUUGGGCGUAAAGAGCGUGUAGGCGGCCAGGUAGGUCGGUUGUGAAAACUCGAGGCUCAACCUCGAGAUGUCGACCGAAACCAUCUGGCUAGAGUCCGGAAGAGGAGAAUGGAAUUCCCGGUGUAGCGGUGAAAUGCGUAGAUAUUGGGAGGAACACCAGUGGCGAAGGCGGCUCACUGGACCGGAACUGACGCUGAGGCGCGAAAGCGUGGGGAGCAAACGGG
rnacentral:rRNA from 1 species